ACCUGUAACUUUUAGAGAUAUUUGAUUUGAAAUCAGAUAGUUUGUUUGUAAUGACAAUAUGGGUU
rnacentral:tRNA from 1 species